GCCUUGGUAGCUCAAUUGGUAGAGCACGAGACUCUUAGCCUUGGGGUUGUGGGUUCUGGUCCCAUGUUGGGCA